rnacentral:rRNA from 1 species
ACUCAAAGGAAUUGACGGGGGCCCGCACAAGCGGUGGAUGAUGUGGUUUAAUUCGAUGCAACGCGAAAAACCUUACCUACCCUUGACAUGUCCCGAACCCUGCUGAAAGGUGGGGGUGCCCGAAAGGGAACGGGAACACAGGUGCUGCAUGGCUGUCGUCAGCUCGUGUCGUGAGAUGUUGGGUUAAGUCCCGCAACGAGCGCAACCCUUGCCAUUAGUUGCUACAUUUAGUUGGGCACUCUAAUGGGACUGCCGGUGACAAACCGGAGGAAGGUGGGGAUGACGUCAAGUCCUCAUGGCCCUUAUGGGUAGGGCUACACACGUCAUACAAUGGUCGGUACAGAGGGUAGCCAACUCGCGAGAGGGAGCCAAUCUCAGAAAGCCGAUCGUAGUCCGGAUCGCAGUCUGCAACUCGACUGCGUGAAGUCGGAAUCGCUAGUAAUCGCGGAUCAGCAUGUCGCGGUGAAUACGUUCCCGGGCCUUGUACACACCGCCCGU